rnacentral:misc_RNA from 1 species
UUUCCGUAGGGGAACCUGCGGAAGGAUCAUUAUCGAGUUUGAAAGGAGUUGAUGCUGGCCUUCCGAGGCAUGUGCUCGCCCCUGUCAGAUCCAACUCAACACCUGUGCACAUCAGAGGGCGCGAGUGGUCUGUCCCUUGCCAACGGGCCUCGAUUCCUCCGUGGGUCGAGGCUUGGAGGGGUGGAUCCUGGCGACCUCCUUCACAUCACAAACUCUUGAACGUAUCCAGAACGUGUAGCAGCCCUCGUGUGGGGCAGUCUUAAUUACAACUUUCAACAACGGAUCUCUUGGCUCUC